rnacentral:rRNA from 1 species
GACAGAGGUCCCGAGCGUUAGGCGGAAUCACUGGGCUUAAAGCGUGUGUAGGCGGCGGCCUAAGUACCUUGUGAAAUCCCACGGCUCACCCGUGGAACUGCUCGGUAUACUGGGUCGCUUGAGCCACUUAGGGGCUACCGGAACAAAUGGUGGAGCGGUGAAAUGCGUAGAUAUCAUUUGGAACGCCAAUGGUUAAAACAGGUAGCUGGGAGGGUGCUGACGCUGAGACACGAAAGCCAGGGGAGCAAACGGG